rnacentral:rRNA from 1 species
GCGAGCGUUGUUCGGAUUUACUGGGCGUAAAGGGCGCGCAGGCGGCUCAUUUUGUCAGGCGUGAAAGCCCCGGGCUUAACCUGGGAACUGCGUUUGAUACGGAUGGGCUAGAGUUCGGGAGAGGAGAGUGGAAUUCCCAGUGUAGAGGUGAAAUUCGUAGAUAUUGGGAAGAACACCGGUGGCGAAGGCGGCUCUCUGGACCGAUACUGACGCUGAGGCGCGAAAGCGUGGGGAGCAAACAGG